rnacentral:siRNA from 1 species
ACGCCAAUGGUGACAUAAAGAAA